CGCGUGUAAAGCCACUGCUUCUCGCUGCCAGCUGCCGGUCACCUCUCUUACGUGGCACCCCCGGAUUGGAUGUCCUACAUCAAAAGAAAGGGUAUCUUGAAGUUGACGAGGGAAAAAAAAAUAAUUAAACAAACCAGAAUAAAUCAAAAUUAAUAAAAAAAUUCAUAGCAUAGGCUUGAAGGAUUAUAUAUACAGAGAUAAGGUGACCAACUAAUGCAUAGAGUGAAAACACAAAGUGAGGACACCACAAAAAAAUUAAAAAAAAAAUUUGUGUGUUUUGAGCUUCAAGCUUCAAGCUUUUGCAAUUGUGUUUGAUAAAAAUUUUCUCUUUAAAUUUUCCCCCUUCUGUGAUUCCCCCCACUUCUCUGAAUCCCCUUCUGUCAUCAACUGUCUUUCAAUUAAAGCUUGUGUUUUGAAGGUGAAAAAUUGUUCGUUUCUGAAAUCCAAACGAGCCCGCGAGGGUUGUUUUUGAAAGCCAGGUGAUUCCAGAUUGCGGUCCAGGUUCUUUUUUUUUUUUUUUGUGGGGGAUAAAUUUUUAGUGUUUUUUUUUUCGCCAAUCAGCUAAGAGGGUUGAUUUUUGUUCCCUCAAAGUUGCUACUUUUCUUUUCUUUUCUUUUCUUCUUAACGUACAUAAAUUUCAAAGAAACAGGAUUUGUUUUUAUAAAAUCUUGUGAAAAAUUAUGGCAGCAGCUAUAGAUAUGUACAAUAGCAGCAGGAGCAUCUCAGAUCCUUUCAGGGAAGAGUUGAUGAAAGCACUUGAACCUUUUAUGAAAAUUGCUUCUUCCAAUUGUUCUUCUUCUUCUGGUUUCUCAUCUUCUUCUUACUCUUCUUACUCUUCUUACUCUUCUUACUCUUCUUACUCUUCUUACUCUCCAACCACUUCUUCAGAAGCCAACUUUUUUUACCCUGAUGGUUAUAACCUUUGCUCCCCAUCAUAUGACACCCCUAUGUUUUCUCAAGGGUUGAUGAGUUUUGAGCAGCAACCAAUUAGUUCUCUU
rnacentral:lncRNA from 1 species